AGAAUCAACGCUGGCGGCGUGCCUAACACAUGCAAGUCGAACGAGAAAGGGUAGCAAUACCUGAGUAAAGUGGCGCACGGGUGAGUAACACGUGACUAACCUACCUUUUAGUGGGGGAUAACCUAGGGAAACCUGGGCUAAUACCGCAUAAUACCUACGGGUCAAAGCAGCAAUGCGCUGAUAGAGGGGGUCGCGGCCGAUUAGCUAGUUGGCGGGGUAAUGGCCCACCAAGGCAGUGAUCGGUAUCCGGCCUGAGAGGGCGCACGGACACACUGGAACUGAAACACGGUCCAGACUCCUACGGGAGGCAGCAGUGGGAUUUUGCGCAAUGGGGGAAACCCUGACGCAGCAACGCCGCGUGGAGGAUGAAGUCCCUUGGGACGUAAACUCCUUUCGAUCGGGACGAUAAUGACGGUACCGGAGAAGAAGCCCCGGCUAACUUCGUGCCAGCAGCCGC
rnacentral:rRNA from 1 species